ACAUUUUUAUUGCAGUACAAAAAGUCACAAACAAAGCAAAUGUGUGGUCUUCUUGUGUAGCAUCAAUGACGUAUGAUAAAAACUGGACUGCGCCCUUUCACGUGGUAAUUCGGCUUCAACUUCCGGUCAUGGCAAAAUAUUGCUUUGGGUACUAUUUCAGGUGAAAUUUGACAUCCUUACCUUUGUACAUUGUGAAACAUAGCAUCAAAUUUAAUUGGAAUAUGUUAGGUGUAGCUUUAUUUUUUCGCUGUUGGCUGUUAAAACUGUGCAGGCAGCUGCAAAGAAGUAACUUUUCACCGGUAAGUGCGUUUCAGUUUAGCCUUCAUAAUUAAUUAUUCUAUAUUUAUCACAUUGUUUAACACUGAAAUAUGAAAUAUUUGAGAAAAGUGGAGGGGAAUUACAGUAAUCUCUCGUUUUUUGCAGUUAAUUGGCACCAGAACCACCCACGAAAAGUGAAAAACCAUGAAGUAGCGGGGAUGUAUGUUUAUAUCACACCACGGUGGUGGGCCUCGUCAACCACAAGCUGCAGGAGUGAGGUCGCUGACUGGUGAUGUGGUAGAAGCACAACAUUCUCCCCCUGAACGUUGAGAAGACAAAGACUAAGAUCAUAGUGGACUUCAGGAGAGGCCACACCCAGCAUCCCCAUCAAACCAUCAACAGGCUGUCGUAGAGCAGAGGGACGAUCAAGAACAUCCUGUGCAGCAGCAUCACCUUGUGGUAUGGCGCCUGCACUACCUCCUGCCCUAACAUCCUGCAACACAAUGUGAGAACAGCUGUGAAGAUCAUUAGUGUUUCUCUCCCCUCCCUUACACACUUAUCACACCCACCUUACACCCAAGGCCAACAAGAUUGCAGGCGACCCCACUCACCCGUCGCACUGCCUCUGCAAAUUGCUGCUAUCAGCAAGGAGACUGCAGAGUCUUUGGGCCCUAAUCAGCAGGCUCAAUAACAGUUUUUUCCACCAUGAAGUCAGGAUGCUCAACUCCCUGUUUGCUUUGCCCACAUUAAUAUGAUCAACACUCCCUGGCACCCAGCACCACAGAGUCACAGUAUUUGCCUUGUCCUUGCAGCACUGUGUACAUUACCCAAAUGAUUAUUCUGCUUUACUGUUGAGAAAUGUCUGUAAUUUAAUAAACUGGCCAUAAUACUCAACAGUGUACAUUGCUUUUCAUAAUGUCAAUACCACAAGUCUAUAUACUGUGUAUAGGAAUUGCAUUUCUUGUUUAAAUUGUGCAGAUUGUCCAUAUUGGUUGUGUUGUCUAUUGUAUUGGGCACAGUGUACAUAUUUUUACACAGACCAGUUUAUUUAUAUUUUAUUUGAUCUAUUUCUUUUGUAACCUUUUAUAGCACCGCUGGUCUGAGAGGAAUGCUAUUUCAGUUAUGUUACAGUAUAUGUGAUG